rnacentral:rRNA from 1 species
CAGGCGCGAAAACUUCACACUGCAGGAAACUGUGAUGAGGGAACUCCUAGUGCAUGCACUAUGUGUAUGUAGAUCCUACUCUUAACAAGUAGAGGGAAAGGGCUGGGAAAGACCGGUGCCAGCCGCCGCGGUAAUACCGGCAGCUCAAGUGGUCGUCGCUUUUAUUGGGCCUAAAACGUCCGUAGCCUGUUUGGUAAAUCUGUGGGUAAAUCAACUCGCUCAACGAGUUGAAUUCUGCAGAGACUGCCAGACUAGGGACCGGGAGAGGUGUGGGGUACUCUAGGGGUAGGGGUAAAAUCCUGUCAUCCUUAGAGGACCACCAGUUGCGAAGGCGCCACACUGGAACGGAUCCGACGGUCAGGGACGAAGCCUAGGGGCACGAACCGGAUUAGAUACCCGGGUAGUCCUAGGUGUAAACGCUGUGAACUUGGUGUCGGGGGUCCGCAAGGGGUCCCCGGUGCCGGAGUGAAGAUGUUAAGUUCACUGCCUGGGGAGUACGGUCGCAAGGCUGAAACUUAAAGGAAUUGGCGGGGGAGCACCGCAACGGGAGGAGCGUGCGGUUUAAUUGGAUUCAACGCCGGAAAACUCACCAGGGCCGACUGUUAUAUGAAGACCAGCGUAAUGAGCUUGUCGGAUUUUCAGAGAGGUGGUGCAUGGCCGUCGUCAGUUCGUACUGUAAAGCGUUCUGUUAAGUCAGAUAACGAACGAGACCCUCAUCUCUAUUUGC